CCACACACUCACCUGGGCAGGGAGCAGGAGAGGAGCCCCAGCCUGCUGCAUUCAGCCGGGCUGCUCUACAGGACGGCGCAGGGCAGCCUCGGCUCUCCGGUCACUCCAACACCGCGGGCGCGGCUCUCAUGCAGUUACAGAUGAAGUGAUAUUUCCCUAAGACACCGCCGCUUUUGGAGCGAUGGGUUUCACAUCGUGGAUCUGGUACUGCCAUAGGAAAGCCCUAGGUAACUGAGGUGGCAGAGGCCACGCAAGACUCGCCUGGUGCAGGGAAGGUCUCAGUCCCCUUCGAGGGAGGAAGGAAGAAAGAAGAAAGAAAUCGGUGGCCUCCGUUUGCAAACACCAGCAGUACAAAUGUGUCAACUUCACAAAAUAUGAUUAGUAGUGUUGUCACAUUAAAAGACUGAAUGAGGGUGAGGUGUCCAGAAAUCUAGGAAUGGGGACAAGCGUAGGAGCGGUGUGCCAAGCUGAUCUGAGCCUUGGUGGGCGCCCUCCCUUGGGCGGAGUCCUCGUGGGGGUCCUCCCCUGGGCGGAGUCCUGGUGGGCGCCCUCCCCUAUGUGCUACCUGGAGAAGGGAAGGGGCAGCCAGGGCGCGUGCUGGUGUCGCUGUGCAGCGCAGAGAGGAGGUGGGUGGAGACAGAACCCUCCAGAGGGAGGCAGACGUCAGGGGACGCCUCAGGAUGUCAUCAGUGAGUCUGCAGGCUGUGUCCACUGGACACGUGGGCUAGCUCAGGGGAGGCAGUGAGCCCCCAGUCGGGUCACUAGGAAUACAGGGUUCCCAGUUUACGGACCAGAAGGAUAAAAUCUCUUCGCGAGUGGCGGUGACAUUUUGGUACCUCUUGCUGGCAGCCGCGCCACUCUGGCUGAUUUGCCCCAGGCGCUGUGGGAUGCGCCCUGCUGGCUUCUGCCCGCGGUGGCUCAGCUUUGGGGCCGCCGGGUGUUUCCUUCCCCUCAAGCAUGGAUUUGCCCUGCUGCAGGACAAUUCGCCUACUGGUGCCUCCCGGAAAUGUAUCAGUGGAAAGGAGCUCAGAGCAAGGUCUGCGGGCCAGGGUUUCCUUGUCUCCCUACCGGUCACAGCUGCCUGUGAGGAAGGUGGCUGCUGCCACCGCGGGGAGGGACAGCACAUUAGUCAUUGGCCUCACCUCUGGCGGCAGCCCAGCCAAGAGCAAGAGCUGUGCAUCAGCGGGGCCUCCUGGGAUCCAGAGAAGCAGCAGGGGGCGCUGGAGACCUGGUGCUUGAGGCUGAGGGUGGUACCAGGGCUACCUGGGAGGGCGCCCAGCUGCUGCUGGAACGGGGAUAUGCCAGUCACCAACACUGAGGCCACUGCUCAGGGUGCAGGGGAGUCUGGAGAUGCCCCAGGGGAUGCAGAGAGGGCGGCUGCUGAACCUCAUGGGUGCAGAGAGGGAACCUUCAGGCCUUGACCAGCGCGGCAAAACUAGCUGGUUCCGGCAAGGGGUCAGGGGAGAUUGGAAGAAAAAAGAUUCAAAGACGCAAAUCUUGAGGAUUAACCUGGAGUUGGGUGGAGCGCUGCUCUCUGAUGAAGAAGCAGGUCUGCAGAAUUACACCAACAAUCUUUAUUAUAUAUGUCUCAUUAAUAAGAUUAAAGACUAUGCCAACAUUAUUUUAUUAA